CUCCUCCCCUGUGGAAGAACACCUUCCCCGAAGGAGAAACGGACGCUGGCUCUCAGGGCAGAAGGUAGGGGUGGUGAUUACUCUGGGGCCUCUCGUACAGUCCAGUCAGCUGGCAGAAGAGCAGCGGGGGACAGCUCGAGGGCCCCCAGGUGGCAGCUCCCGGGUUCCCAGCGGUCCCGUCAGGGACAGGAGUCGACUUCCGCUUCCCUUGGUCCGUGGCUUGCUUGCCGGGGGCAUGGAUGGCCCCAGUUGGUACAGCUCAAUUGAUCUCACCAAAAACAGCGAUCUGAUCAAGUCAUCAUGCCAUAAGACCUUCAGGGUCUCCAUCCUCUGGUCACAGCAUACUCUCGAGCUCCUCUUCACCUUCUGCUCUACCAGAUACCCACAUGCCGGCAGUGGAUAUCAUUGCCUUUGCCUGAGGACCCCUAGAGGAUGUCAUAUAUCACAGAAAGGCCACUACACUGCCAGCCCUUCGAGAAGAAAUUGAAAAUGCACGUGCAGCCAUCUCAAUGACCAAGGUUACCCAAGCAGUGGUUC
ensembl:lncRNA